GCCGGGGUGGCGGAAUUGGUAGACGCACGGGACUUAAAAUCCCGGGGUGGAGAUCCACCGUGUCGGUUCGAGUCCGACCCUCGGUACCA
rnacentral:tRNA from 1 species